GAAAUGCGAUAAGUAAUGUGAAUUGCAGAAUUCAGUGAAUCAUCGAAUCUUUGAACGCACCUUGCGCUCCUUGGUAUUCCGAGGAGCAUGCCUGUUUGAGUGUCAUGGAAUUCUCAACUCUAUUUGCUUUUGUGAAUAGAGCUUAGAUUUGGAGGUUUAUUGCUGGUACUUGUGAUCGGCUCCUCUUGAAUGCAUUAGCUCGAACCUUUGCGGAUCAGCUAUCGGUGUGAUAAUUGUCUACGCCGUUGCAGUGAAGCAUAUCAAUGGGCUCGGCUUCCAAUCGUCCUUUACUGGACAAUGACUUUGACCUUUGACCUCAAAUCAGGUAGGAUUACCCGCUGAACUUAAGC
rnacentral:misc_RNA from 1 species